rnacentral:lncRNA from 1 species
GAUUCUAAAACUUCUGAAUUAGUAGUUGAAAGUAUUAUGCAUGUUUAUGAAAGAAUGUAAAUAUUUGUUUGACCAUGGGUCCUAUCUACGAUUUGAUUCGUAAUAUUUUGCUUAUCACUUGGGUAUGCAACCUAGACCAUUGCAUUAUGUGCUAUAUGUAAAUAUGAUCAUUGGAGAUUCUUUGAUAACGAACUUGAAUCUGGUCCUCUUGU